rnacentral:rRNA from 1 species
UACAGAGGGUGCGAGCGUUAAUCGGAAUUACUGGGCGUAAAGCGUGCGUAGACGGUUGUUUAAGUCAGAUGUGAAAGCCCCGGGCUCAACCUGGGAAUUGCAUUUGAGACUGAAUAGCUAGGGUGCGGAAGAGGGAAGCGGAAUUUCCGGUGUAGCAGUGAAAUGCGUAGAUAUCGGAAGGAACAUCAGUGGCGAAAGCGGCUUCCUGGUCCAGCACCGACGUUCAGGCACGAAAGCGUGGGGAGCAAACAGG